GUUGAUCCUGCCGGAGGCCACUGCUAUCGGAGUUCGAUUAAGCCAUGCGAGUCGAGAGGUGCAAGACCUCGGCAUACUGCUCAGUAACACGUGGACAACCUACCCUAUGGAGGGGGAUAACCCCGGGAAACUGGGGAUAAUACCCCAUAGACUAUAGAUGCUGGAAUGCUUUGUAGUUGAAAGGUCCGCCGCCAUAGGAUGGGUCUGCGGCCGAUUAGGUUGUUGUUGGGGUAACGGCCCAACAAGCCUGUAAUCGGUACGGGUUGUGGGAGCAAGAGGCCGGAGAUGGAUUCUGAGACACGAAUCCAGGCCCUACGGGGCGCAGCAGGCGCGAAAACUUUACAAUGCGGGAAACCGUGAUAAGGGAACUCCGAGUGCCCGUAAAAUCGGGCUGUCCAUCUGUUUAAAUAACAGGUGAAGAAAGGGCCGGGCAAGACCGGUGCCAGCCGCCGCGGUAAUACCGGCGGCUCGAGUGGUGGCCACUAUUACUGGGCUUAAAGCGUUCGUAGCUGGUCUGUUAAGUCUCUGGGGAAAUCUACUGGCUUAACCAAUAGGCGUCUCAGGGAUACUGGCAGACUAGGGACCGGGAGAGGUGAGAGGUACUCCAGGGGUAGGAGUGAAAUCCUGUAAUCCUUGGGGGACCACCUGUGGCGAAGGCGUCUCACCAGAACGGCUCCGACAGUGAGGGACGAAAGCUGGGGGAGCAAACCGGAUUAGAUACCCGGGUAGUCCCAGCCGUAAACGAUGCGCGUUAGGUGUAUCGGUGACCACGAGUCACCGACGUGCCGAAGAGAAAUCGUGAAACGUGCCGCCUGGGAAGUACAGUCGCAAGGCUGAAACUUAAAGGAAUUGGCGGGGGAGCACCACAACGG
rnacentral:rRNA from 1 species